CUUUCUUUCUGAUUGUUCAAUCUUGUUGUUCAAAACUAAUGUACUGUUAUAGUAAGAUGACAAAGAACCUUAAUGAUAUUCCUAAGUUUUAUGUCCACAUGGUGAUUGCAUUGAUUAAAUGAAAGUAAGGUUGAUUGUAUGAGAAUAAAAUUCAUAGUGUCCUUCUAUUCCAUUCUAAAUACAAGCCCAAUCUCAGCUCUCUAUCACCUCGGUGUUAUGAUCUUGGGCUUAGCGUUCUUCAAAGAUUUUGUUCCUCAGAGGCCACAAGUGGAGAGGGGAAGAAGCUUCCAGUUGACUGAGGAAGAUUUGUUUCGUGCUUCCCGAGCUGUGCUUCAUGCGACACGCACGUGUAUAAAAAAUAUUUAUAAUAUAAAAAUUAUAAUCAGUUUUGAUAAGACCCAUUUUGUAUUGCGUGCUACAGCCCUUGACAAAGCAGCAUACAGUUGUCCAGGGCAUCUCUCUGACAUUUCCUCGUCUGGUGUGAUUAUGGGAUGAUAAAAGCCCAUAACAGGCGACCACUUCUGAGCAAGUUGCUGACAUGUACCGUG